AAGUCGUAACAAGGUUUCCGUAGGUGAACCUGCGGAAGGAUCAUUAUCGUGGGGCUCCGGCCCCGUCGAGAUAGAACCCUUGCCUUUUGAGUACCCCUUUUCCGUUUCCUCGGCGGGUUCGCCCGCCGGUGGAGGCGCCAAAAAACACUUUGCAGUACCUGUAACCGUCUGAGAAACAAACAAAAAAUCAAAACUUUCAACAACGGAUCUCUUGGUUCUG
rnacentral:misc_RNA from 1 species